rnacentral:tRNA from 1 species
AAAGAAUUAGUUAACCAAAUAACGCCAGCUUGUCAAGCUGAAAUUGCCAAAUACAUAGGCAUUCUUUU